rnacentral:rRNA from 1 species
UACGUAGGGGGCAAGCGUUGUCCGGAAUCAUUGGGCGUAAAGAGCGUGUAGGCGGCCAGAAAAGUCCGCUGUGAAAACUCGAGGCUCAACUUCGAGCUGUCGGUGGAAACUUUCUGGCUAGAGUCCGGAAGAGGAGAAUGGAAUUCCUGGUGUAGCGGUGAAAUGCGCAGAUAUCAGGAAGAACACCCGUGGCGAAGGCGGUUCUCUGGGACGGUACUGACGCUGAGGAGCGAAAGUGUGGGGAGCGAACAGG